rnacentral:lncRNA from 1 species
UUGAUGAAGAGAGGUGGGAUGUCUAGCAUCCCCAAUCUUAGAUGCUUGAGACUUCUUGAAAUAUUUACUUGGGGUGCCUUGGGCAUACCCAAGGUUGAGCUUUUGUGUCUUCUUAAUUCCUCUCAUAUCAUGGUUUCACCUAAGUCUCAAAAACUUCAUCCACACAAAACUUGAAAAUAAACUCGUGUGAUAGGUUAGUACACAUAAAAGUAAACCAACUCUUUAUGUACUACCAAGACAAGUUGCAUAAUACUUUUCAAACAUUAGGUACUAUAUACUAUUGUUUCCACAAUUUAUAUCUACC